rnacentral:lncRNA from 1 species
UUAUUUUUGAAGCUAAAAUCAAAUCCAAAACGAGUCAAAAUACCAAAAACACUUUUCAUCGGUUUCGUCGAUUCUUUUUUUUUUGAAUUUUGUGUUUAUUCUCCUCUUAUUCUUUAAAAAAACAGCAAAAAGAAAAAGAAAAAGAAAAAAGAAGAAGCAAAAAGCGCAAAAAAAAAACGCAAAAAAAAACCCGCAAAAAAAAAAACAAAAAGUUGCCUACCUUUCAUACGUAGGUUUCUU